ensembl:rRNA 5S_rRNA 5S ribosomal RNA
GUCUAUGGCCAUACCACCCUGAACAUGACCGAUCUCAUGUGAUCUCGGGAACUAAGCAAGAUCGGGCCUGGUUAGUACUUGGAAGGGAGAAAAUAAAUGCUUUAUAAA